GGUUAAACACUUUCCUGGUACCUUUCCAUUCAGCAGUUGGCCUACUCUAAAACCUAGGUUACUAAUAGAAGAUGACAGGGGAUCCUCUGAGACUGGUUAUUUAUCACCACACCUCUUUUCUCCUCUUCUUGGGCUCAUGGCCACACUAUAUUUCCCAGACUCCCUUGCAGUUGGGUGUAGCCAUGUGACUGAGAGCUGGCCAAUGUCAUGUGAGUAGAAGUGUUUCUCCUCUACCCCCUUAGGUGAUCUUCAUGCUCAUUCCAUGGCUAGAAUGGAAGUGAUUUCCAGGACCACCUUGAGAGCCAUGUGUUGAAGGUGCUGGGGAGAGGAGCAGUGAGCAAACACAAAAUCCCUGCCUGUUUAGAACUGAUCUUCUAGUGGUGGUGGUUGGGGCUGGGAGCAGCUGGAC
rnacentral:lncRNA from 10 species